AGUUCACGUCACCCAUAUUGAUCACCAUUUCUGGACAUGUUCCAAGCAUAUUUGGUCUGAUAUGUGGAUCUCGAGAUAUGUUCAAAUUACUGAAGACAGUGCAUGCUGGAAAUAAGUACGGGAUUUGUAGCUAUUCAUCUCCUUCAAUGGACUUAUGCUUGAGAGGCCUUAAUGGAGAACAUGCCACAUGUUAGGACAGUCUAGUGGAGCACUUAGAAGACACAUCCAGUUCACAAACAUGGAAGCAAGGUUUAUUGGAGCAUUACACACAAUUGGUAACUUGUUGGAGCAUUAAGGAAACAUGACAACUCACCAACAACUCAUGGCAGAUUGUGGGGUAACUUGUGGAGGGAAUUUCGGCUGGAAGUGCACAAAUGACAACUCAACACCACCAGCCCUUGUUUUUUUAAUUAUCUACUCAAAUUAAGCUUGAAAUGAAGACAAUACACGCCCAAAUUGCUGCUUCA